AACAGGGAAGGACAAGAAGUAAAAAUGGAUUCAAGCUUGAGGAUAGAUUUAAGAAAGACAGGAUAGAAUGGCAUAGACUCAGUAAUCAGGUUGUUAGUACUGAGUCAUUGGGGAGCUUUAGACAAAUUUAUGGAUUGGGUGGAAAUAAGGUAAGAGCAGAAUAACACACACAGCAAAGGAUUAGGUAAUAUCAUAAAGGAUAAUUUAUUGGGGCUUCCACUCAUUCACCCUGCUCUUAUAGACAAAGAAUAACACACACAGCAAAGGAUAAGGUAAUAUCAUAAAGGAUAAUAAUUUAUUGGGGCUUCCACUCAUUCACCCUGCUCUUAUAGACAAGGUGGCAUCAAAAGCAUUUCUCUCUCUCUCGUAGCAUAGAAGUCAUUAUGUAGUGAAGACUGUCACACUCAUCGUGUCAUAUUUCACAAGAGUUACUGGGUAUCUUAUCUCUUUUUUGGAUAUCUGUUACCAUCUAACGAAAUACUAAAAUAGUUAAGAGUAUUUUUACAUGUCUGUCUAGGUAAUAACCUAGACAAUGAGACAAUAGUGAAGAUUGUAAACAUGGUUUGCUUUUCAUACCAUCUAAAUUUUCAGGGAAAAACACUUAUUUUGCUCCUUAAUUGAUAAAACUCAAGGUUAGUGAGACUUUUCCUCUUCUAGUAUAUUUCUACAAAAUAUGAAUGCACAAAAUCCCCUAAACAUUAUUUGUUUUCAUAAGUUAGAAAUAAAAUCUGCAUAUUGAGAUGGUCUUUUGGCGGCGCCAAAACAGUUUAAACGCAAAUCUGUGACAGGUGAGUGCCAGCCGCUGUUGUGCUUAUUUUACCUGUCCCACGAACACAACAGCGGCCUGGCCAACAUUCAGCGACUCGGAGACACAUUACCAAGUAAGCAAGUGGACAUUGCCGCCCUGACAAGCUUUUUAAAGUGUAAAGACGUGCUGGGUAUGACAAGCCGCAGCUGAGUGCUUUGGCAUAACAACACAGCGGCGUCCUGGCUCCCUGUGGCUCCCUGGCUCCUUCCCCGCGCACAGUUUGCUCUCUCUCUCUCACCAAGAAAACAACAAAAUUUGCUCUGCGGAGACGAGGUUAAUGUGUGUUCAGGAACAUCUGGUGCAUUACGCUGUAUAAAAGUGAGCGAGCUGGCUGUACCAAGGCGACUGUAUUUUGCGUCUUAAAACCAUGUUCAAUGAACUAAGUAAACAUCAACAGAUAACAUUAAAUCAACAACAUAAUUACACUGGAAGGAAUACAAGGACGGCAAUUCAACAGUACAUCAUAUACGUUGUGUUUGCAGAUGACUGCCGCGAGGGGAGGCUUGGCUAGCUGACUAACUGAAAUAAGCCUCAAGAUCAAUGCAAACCGCAAGACCUAACACCAUAUAUAAUACAAUGAAGGAUAUUAUUGUUACUACUGUUCAUCCAAGCCAGCAUCACCACCACCACCACCACCACCACUUCAAGCUUCGUUAAAGAGGUGAACCAGGCCAACACAAGACAGAUGGGAUGCAAGAACACUGUUGACACAUCAAUACUUCAAACAAGGCAAUAAAGCGUCUACCAGCACCCCUUAGCACCUGCACAUGACACCACUGCAACACCAUUACCUGAUAUGACGCAGAAUUCAUCAUCGCCACAGUCCCAUGCAUCAUUUACGGACUCCUGGUAGUCUUGGAAGCUGUC